UUGAUGAUUGAUUAUGACUGAAAAAUUGUGUAUUUUGAUUGAGUAUCAUUGGUUGAAUUUUAGUUGAUUUGAUCCGUGGUUUGCAAUUAAGUUUUAAAUGUUAUUCAAAAAGAUUUUGUCUCUUGAACAGUUUAAGGAGACGACUCAUGUAAAUGAGGAAUCGACUCAUGGUAAUGGACGACUCUUAAGUUAAAAGAGUUGACCCCUAACUUACAAGAGACGACUCUUAAGUUAAAAGAGUCGACUCUUAGUUCAUCGGAGAUGACUCAUGAGUUAGAUAAGUCGACUAAAGAGGAAACUAUUCGAAACGGAUUCUAAAAGGCUUUCUCUCUCUCUCUCUCUGAAAUGUUGAACCUGAAACGUUUCAUAACCCUUAGAGUGCCUCUUUUGUCUUCAAACUCUUCUUCGAACCAGAAACUCCCAAAAACCCUAGAAAAUCCUUCCGAGGUUCUGAUUGAUCUUCCAAUGGUGAGAAUCAAGCAAGCAAUAUCUGGACCAAAGAGAAAGAAUACCACUCCACACACAGAGAGGAGAACAAAGGCUAGGGCAGAGAAUCCACAGAAGGAAGUAACACCACCGCCUCAA
rnacentral:lncRNA from 1 species